rnacentral:rRNA from 1 species
UACGGGGGGGGCAAGCGUUGUUCGGAAUUACUGGGCGUAAAGGGCUCGUAGGCGGCCAACUAAGUCGGACGUGAAAUCCCUCGGCUUAACCGGGGAACUGCGUCCGAUACUGGAUGGCUAGAGUUCGGGAGAGGGAUGCGGAAUUCCAGGUGUAGCGGUGAAAUGCGGUAGAUAUCUGGAGGAACACCGGUGGCGAAGGCGGGUCUCUGGGCCG